rnacentral:lncRNA from 1 species
AUCUCCUCAGGGGUCUAAGGGGAAGUGACCGUGGUGGUGCAGCCUGGUUUCACCGACCAUUGCAGACACACCUUGGUGGUCCUGGGCACAGCCGGUGCCUCCUCACACCCUUCUUUCCCAGCAGUGCUGUAUGCCACCCUACAAAAUGCCCGUACCGUAGACCUCUGCUAUGAAGAGUGGGGCUCCUUCUCCCUUAGCCCCAGCAAUAUCCAAAAAUGCACACAGAAAAAAAAAAAAAAAAAAAGGCAGAGCUGCUGAAACACAUGUUCAGAUACCCAUGCAGAUACACGGGUUGUGUGAAUGACAAUGCCCUGCAUCAGCCGUUCCUCCUCCUCCCCAGGAGCCUGGACGCCACCAAUCCCAGCGUUUCCUCUCGUGGCAUGAGUUUUAAUUGCUGCCAGCAGGAGUGGCUUCAUCCUGCCAGGGCUUUGAGAGGACGCUCAUAUACAGGAAUCCCUCAAACGAGAAAACCUGAUUCCCCCAGUGGGCAAAUGUUUGCUGCGAGGAGUCAGAGGUCAGCACAAAAUUUCUGUCCAGCUUCUAGCUGGAGGUCUCGGGAGCGACAGAAACUGGCCCAGCAAUGCAUAUUAAUCUUUUGAUGGUGGUUGAAUGCUGUUAUCUUGUGGGAGAUUCUUUACACAUUGUGGCUGGAGCCAAGCUGCCUCAAGCACAAACUUGACACAGGACUUUUCAUCCAAGAUCGGACUCUCGGUUGGGGUAGUGACAUAAUAAUCAGUAACAUUUUUGUAUAAGGCUCCCAUAUCUAAUCCCAGAUUAUGUUUCAGAUAAAAGCACGCAUGUGGUGCCGCAGUUGCAGGCUGAUCGCUGUGUACACACGUUGUGCUUACUGGGCACACAGAUUUUACAGGCAUGCCCAGAACACCCAGGUCUGGCUGAGCACAUGAAGGCUGACCGCAGAAGUUGUGAAGCUUUCAGGACUUUUGAAUCCAUUGGAGGUAUGAAAAAAAGAAAAGUGCAUCUAUACACGUCUUGGUCUCCACUCAGGAUUCCUGGAUACUGACAGUGCAUUCUGAGAUACUGAGAUAUUUAUGCUGGGUUACACACUCUUUGAAUAGACUACCAGACACCCACAAAUGCUGGAAGAAAAAUAUAUUUUUGUUUUGUUUUGUUUUGUUUUGUUUUGUUUGUUUGUUUGUUUGUUUUUGGAUUGGACAAAAUUUCUGUCUGGGAAAAAGGAGACUUGUUAAGGAAUCCCGGUUCUAGAGACACUUUCUAGAUCCUGAGGUCUCUAAAAUUUAUGAAAUGGUACGCUUAUUUAGCUCAUCUCCAGCUCCUCUUCUCAUCUCUGAACAGGACUGAACUACACACUGCUAGUCAGCAGGGCUAGUGUAUGAAGAGAGACAAAUGCUGCAAAAUGAUAUGCUUUGUCUACAAGGUGAUUUUAGUGCAUGGACUCCACCUGCUUUGAGAUCUUGUAAACCAGCAGCAGGAAAACUGGAGCUGGCUUGCUCGGUUUUAAAUUUAUUUAAAAUGAAUUAAACUCUGUUUAAUUAACCUGCUCCUCAUUUCUGAUGGGUGUCUAGAUAUUUUUACUGACUCUGAUGUGCUCCUCAUCAUUUAUGUGUUCUUGCUGUUGGCCAGCAGCUGUCAUCACCAGCGAUGCUACAUAUUCACAACAGAGUGCUCACUGAGAGGGGAUCAGUGGGGUCUUGAGGAGAUUGGAAUAUGUCCCCAUGACUUACACAUGACUUGUGUGCUGGCUGAAAGUCACGUUAAAUACAGAGAAAUAUGUUUGUGCUACAGAGUGCACAGAAAGGAUGCGCUUUCCGUCACUGUUUGCCUUGCACGCCUGCAUUUUUAACCAAAAUACAUCAGCAAGAAAGUCUCGGAAAUAUCCUUCAACAAAUAUGAUUAGAAUUGGUGUGGAGAAACAGUACCAGCUGCAGUGAAUGGACAUUUGGGAGCAGCGUCAGGUCUGCCAUGGUAGCUCUAACACUGGAGCAACUUGGCGCUCGGAGAAACACGAAUGGUCCUGGCAGAGGCACCCCGGAGCUGCUGGAGGACCCUUGUAAAGACAGGUCUGCCUUCACUGCCCUGUGGUGCCAGACAGCAGCUCUGCUGUGGAGAGAAGCCCCUGGGUUGUAAUUCCUGGGUUUCUAACUCCAGAGUGACAGAGCUGCGGUUUGGGCUAGUUCAGGAGCACCUACCUCAGCUUUUGCUUCAGUUGUUGUGCCUCUCAGGGCUGCCUCCUUUCAGUUUCAGGGAAAGGGAGAAAAGAAAUCGGCCAGAAGCUGGCUGCUUCAUUCAGAACUGCACAGUGUGAAUUGCAGCAGGAGUAAUCUCAUCCGACUGAAACAAAACUCCCUCCCCUAAUCUUGAUGGUCUCUUGUCAGCAAGUGCGAACACAUAGAAAAACUGAACAUUGCUACCAUUAUUUGCACCUAUUGUUCUAUAAAUGACAGAUUCGGAGGAACGUGACUUUAAAAAAAAUAAAAUAAAAGAGAAGGAAACA